rnacentral:lncRNA from 1 species
GUCUGUGUGUAGUAGUGAUGGUCACAAUGUAUUUUCAAGUGUCACAGAAAAUACCACUGCAACCCACUGUUUACACCAAAGAGAAACAUAAAUUCAUAAAUUUUGGAAUCUGUGUACCUUCUUCUGGGAUUAUUGAAGGCAGAGACAUACAGAGGGAUAUAUUCUUUUUUUUUUCUGGAUCCUAGUAACCAACUGUGGUACUUCUGACUCUUCAUGACUAAUCCUUUCAUGUUUAACGUGACCGGCCUCAUCUAGAAAAGAAAACUCAAGUGAAUGGCACUUAACAAGGCAACAAGCGACGCAGCACACACAGUUUUCUACAGGUGGCAGAGAACAAUAUUUUCUCCUCCAUUUCAUGAUAUAACAACCAGGCUGACAGAUGCUGCCUGGAGAGUUUGACUUCACUGAGCAGGACAGGAAUGGAAGCUUCAGCAGUUCCAAGCUGAACUUCAAAAACUCAAUUUGUUUAAUGCUCAUAAUUAAUGGAUUGGUUCUAACAGUCCCCUUCCCUCCAGUGAAGAACUGUGACAGCUUGCAGCACUUCCCAAGAGCACUGCAGGUUAUUUCUCUUCUGCAUUGUGGGGGUGUCACGGCUGAGAGCAUAGAGUUUUCUCUUCUAAACUUAUUUUGACUGAAAAUGAGUCCCAUGUCAAAGACAGCAAAACCUGCGCCAUGGUCCUCAUUGAGCACUGAGGCCAGCCUACCCCAAGAGCCCAAAGUGGACAAGAAAGGGCCGCAGCCAUCAAGAUGCACAUCAACAAAAUUACAGAAGGAAAAGUUUGAGAAGUUCAGGCCAGUGCAGGAAGAAUUCUGAGAAGGCGGCAGGAUCAGCAUCUCAUUCUUAGGCCAGCCUGCCUACUGGCACACAAGAGGUCCAGCUCUAGGGAUUGUCAGCCUCCAAUGACCAGAGCUGGGCUCCUGCAGCGUCAGGGCGGGCAGCAGGUUGCUGGUGCCAGCAUCAUAAUGGACAGCAGCCAGCACUGGCCAAGUGAUCGCAGUGUCACAGUGGGGUGGUCUGUGACACGGCCACCCAGGAGCAGCAUAAAAGCAGCUGCAAUGUGGUGGGUGCUGCAUCCCGAAGGAGCAUCCUGCAGACGACCGGAAGCAUCUGGAAGGGAUUCGCUCCCACAUGGCUGGUGCCAACAAGGAGCGAUCUGCACGUGUGACGCGGACCAAGAUAAGCUUCUGGGAGGAUGGCCCCACAACAGAGCGUGCCUCCAGAAGUCCACAGGUCAUCGCCAAAGAGCGAGUUGCCGUCUGGGAUGCAGUGGCCGUCUGUGUGCAACAACACCUCCGGCUGCACAAGGUGGGUCAGAACCUGCCUCCCGCUUGUCUGCUUG